rfam:Schistosoma margrebowiei strain Zambia genome assembly, scaffold: SMRZ_contig0000562
AGCCGGCUGACGUGUCCUAAAUAGGACGAAACGUGCAUUCUGGAU